AUAUAAGUCAGGCUGCGGUAUAUUAAUGAAAAAGAAUUCUCUACUCUUCUGAUACAUACAUACAUGAAGCUUUCUUUAUUCAGUCUCUCCUCCCUUCAUAUAUACCUUUUCUUUGUUUACUUUUGAGCUCAACUUGGUUAGAUUUCCAUGACCCCAUUUGAUCAUUGGGAGUUCAUAGAGCACUGCAUUAUCUGAAAAGAGCUCAAAGAAGGUCUCCUGCAGGGAAAAGUAAGGAAAGUGGGUGUUCAUCAAGAAUGAAACUUUACCAUGGCUUGGUUGCUGGAAGAAAUAUAGGAACUGGAUUGAAACAAAUAAUUUUCAAUCUUCUCUUCUUCAAUAUUCUUCUAAAAAGGGCCUAGUUGAAGUGUUGUUGAAAUAGGGCCGUGACUGGGCCCAUGCUUGCCGAGGAUGAUGUGGAUUGAGACAGAGGAGUUUUCCUCUUACUGUCGUUGGUGGGUGUGGGCCAGAAAAAGCCCACCCAUAGGCUCGCAAUCUAAAUUGGACUUUCAAGGAGGUUUGGAGUUUUGGGUUUUCGCUUUCUGCCCCAAUCCCAUCCCAAAUGCGUUUCACCAUUGUAUCACCAAGAUGGUUCACCACGUACAACUUAUGCACCAAUGGAGUUUGGUUCCCAGUAAUUUCAAUGAAGGAUGUAGUCGAGUACUGCACAACUUGGUCAUCUGCAGCAAACAAUUCCCAGCCUGCCCCGAGGCCGCCAAAACUCGAAGUAGCGAUGGAAAUCAAAGGGUCAGACGACACCGGUGCAAUCCCAGUACUAGGAUGUUGUUGCAGUUGGUGGUGUUGGGCAGCGAAGGCAUCAUCAUUGAUCAAUGAGUUGAGGAACGAAGAGAAAACAUCAUCGGAGCAGUAAUUCAUGUCAUCUUCUUCUUCAGUGCUGCUGGGGCCAUUAUUGUAAUUGCCUCUCAAACCCAUCCCAGAAUUACCAUCAGAGUUUGGCAAAGCCGUAUAGCCAUGGAGUAACUGAUGAUCAUCCAAAUUAGAACUUUGGAAGUAUCCAAUAUUUUCCUUGAUGGGGAUUAUUCCACUGUCACUAUCAGGAGUCAGCUCUUCUGUAACAACUGGAGAAGCGGGAAUAUUAGGGUUAGGGUUUGGGAUAUUGCGAUUGGUUUUUGAUGAAGAAGCUUUAUUGGCAUUGGCGGCGCCGGAGGAGUCGGGGUUCAAAGGCUUGUGGGUUCUUGGAUCUAUGCCUUGGCUGAUCAACUUCUUGCUGAGAUAUAUUACCGGUUGCCGAGGAGACGGUGAAGGCGAAGAAUGAGAUCUUCUUCGUCGGGGGCGAUCUGGCCGCGCUUGACGGAUGGUCGAAGAUAGUUCAUCCAGCGGAGGCGGCAGCUCUUGCCGCAGCGUAGCAGCCCGGCUCGCUUGGGAAGGGUCCGCCACCGGCCCUCACCUUCCUUCUUGAUGUAAUUGGCCAGAAGCUCAUCCUCCUCCGGCGUCCACGGCCCUCUCUUCAGCCCCACCUUGCUGCAGCACGGAGUCGUGGUCGUCGACUUGCCUGCAGUGACCGUCGCCGACCCAGACCCACCUCCUGCCUUUGCUGUUGGCGAUGACGACGACGAUGGGUUCCUCAUGUCCUUUGCUUCUCUCUCGCUCUCUAUCUCCCUCAAAUCUCUUUCUCCGGACAAAAUGUCGCGCUUGUCUGUCUAUAUGAUGAUGAUGAUGAGGGUGCCUCUAUGUAUGUGUUUUAAUUUGGUUGCUAUAUAUGAUUGGCUUUUUUAGAUGGGAUAUGGGACUAAAAAGACAUGGGUGAAGUGUCGUCACUGUAAGAAAAUUGCUAUCCUCACUCGCCUUGGAAGAGCGUCAUCAUCACGCAUUGUGCCUAUUGUCUAGGAGUUUUUGUACGUUAAUUGGGAACCUCCUUUGUCUUUUUAUGACCAUUAAAUAAAUAUUUUAAUGAUUUUAAA